CCUACGGGAGGCAGUAGUGGGGAAUAUUGGACAAUGGGGGCAACCCUGAUCCAGCCAUGCCGCGUGUGUGAAGAAGGCCCUCGGGUUGUAAAGCACUUUCAGUGAGGAAGAACGCCUGGUGGUUAAUACCCAUCAGGAAAGACAUCACUCACAGAAGAAGCACCGGCUAACUCCGUGCCAGCAGCCGCGGUAAUACGGAGGGUGCGAGCGUUAAUCGGAAUUACUGGGCGUAAAGCGCGCGUAGGUGGCUUGAUAAGCCGGUUGUGAAAGCCCCGGGCUCAACCUGGGAACGGCAUCCGGAACUGUCAAGCUAGAGUGCAGGAGAGGAAGGUAGAAUUCCCGGUGUAGCGGUGAAAUGCGUAGAGAUCGGGAGGAAUACCAGUGGCGAAGGCGGCCUUCUGGACUGACACUGACACUGAGGUGCGAAAGCGUGGGUAGCAAACAGGAUUAGAUACCCCAGUAGUC
rnacentral:rRNA from 1 species